rnacentral:tRNA from 1 species
GCCGCGGUGGCGAAACGGCAAACGCGCAUGGUUCAGAGCCAUGUUCCUUAAAAUGGAUUGAGAGUUCAAUUCUCUCCCGCGGCACCA